ensembl:lncRNA
CUCUCUGCAGACCAAUCAGAUUGUCCUACGAGGUCUGCGGGCAAAGAGAGAAACUAGCUCACUGACCAGAUCUCUCUCCAGAGAGAAGCAUCAAUCUGUUCCACUGUCUGAAUGAGCUGAACGACCAUUCUCUAGUGAAGGAGAUCCAACAGUACCUGACAUCAACCAGAGGCAGCGAGGGGGGAAAAGAUGUCCACCCCUCCUCCUUGGUCACUUGGUACGACAAGAAAAACACAAUGAGGGAUAUGGCUGUUUUAGUGAUGUGGUUGACAUGGUGUGAAUGAUUGCAACUGUUUGUUCCUCUGAAUUCUGAAUACUCAGUUGGCAAA